rnacentral:rRNA from 1 species
GACGAACGCUGGCGGCGUGCCUAAUACAUGCAAGUAGAACGCUGAAGGAGGAGCUUGCUCUUCUGGAUGAGUUGCGAACGGGUGAGUAACGCGUAGGUAACCUGCCUGGUAGCGGGGGAUAACUAUUGGAAACGAUAGCUAAUACCGCAUAAUAGUAGAUGUUGCAUGAUAUUUACUUAAAAGGUGCAAUUGCACCACUACCAGAUGGACCUGCGUUGUAUUAGCUAGUUGGUGGGGUAACGGCUCACCAAGGCGACGAUACAUAGCCGACCUGAGAGGGUGAUCGGCCACACUGGGACUGAGACACGGCCCAGACUCCUACGGGAGGCAGCAGUAGGGAAUCUUCGGCAAUGGACGAAAGUCUGACCGAGCAACGCCGCGUGAGUGAAGAAGGGUUUCGGAUCGUAAAGCUCUGUUGUAAGAGAAGAACGAGUGUGAGAGUGGAAAGUUCACACUGUGACGGUAUCUUACCAGAAAGGGACGGCUAACUACGUG